rnacentral:rRNA from 1 species
CAAUAGCGUAUAUUAAAGUUGUUGCAGUUAGAACGCUCGUAGUCGGAUUUCGGGGCGUUCCGACCGGUCUGCCGAUGGGUAUGCACUGGCCGGAGUGUCCUUUUUGCCGGAGACCGUGCCUACUCUUAACUGAGCGGGGGCGGGAGACGGCACUUUUACUUUGAAAAAAUCAGAGUGUUUCAAGCAGGCAGCUCGCUCUUGCAUGGAUUAGCAUGGGAUAAUGAAAUAGGACUUUGGUGCUAUUUUGUUGGUUUCGAACACCGAAGUAAUGAUGAGAAGGGACAGUCAGGGGCACUCGUAUUCCGCAGAGAGAGGUGAAAUUCUCAGACCCGCGGAAGACGAACCACUGCGAANGNAUUUGGNAGGGAUGUUUNCACUG